rnacentral:rRNA from 1 species
AUUGAACGCUGGCGGCAGGCCUAACACAUGCAAGUCGAGCGAGCGGCGGACGGGUGUGUCAUCUCUGGGAGACUGCCUGCCGGAGGGGGAUAACUAUUCGAGACGGUAGCUAAUACCGCAUACCCUCAGAUGUGCCCACAUGGGAUUAGCUAGUAGGUGGGGUAAUGGCUCACCUAGGCGACGAUCCCUAGCUGGUCUGAGAGGAUGACCAGCCACACUGGAACUGAGACACGGUCCAGACGCCUACGGGAGGCAGCAGUGGGGAAUAUUGCACAAUGGGCGCAAGCCUGAUGCAGCCAUGGCGCGUGUGUGAAGAAGGCCUGCUGGUUGGAAAGCACUUUCAGCGGGGAGGCGUUACCCGCAGAAGAAGCACCGGCUAACUACGUGCCAGCAGCCGCGGUAAUAC